GAUGAAGAACGCAGCGAAAUGCGAUAAGUAAUGUGAAUUGCAGAAUUCAGUGAAUCAUCGAAUCUUUGAACGCACCUUGCACCCUUUGGUAUUCCGAAGGGUAUGCUCGUUUGAGUGUCAUUGUACUCUCACACUUCUAAUUCCUUUCGGGAUUGGGAGCGGUGGACUUGGGUGUUGCUGCUUUAGUUGUGGCUCACCUCAAAUAAGUUAGUGCAACUCUUGGUUGGACAUAGUACGGCGUGAUAAGUGUCAUCGCCGGCGCCUCUGUAAGGAGGGUGGCCGAUCGGGAGCUCUGUGCUUCAAACCGUCUUCGGACAAUCUUUGACAACUUGACCUCAAAUCGAGUAGGACUACCCGCUGAACUUAAGCAUAUCAAUAAGCGGAGGA
rnacentral:misc_RNA from 1 species